rnacentral:rRNA from 1 species
ACGGAGGGUGCAAGCGUUAUCCGGAUUCACUGGGUUUAAAGGGUGCGUAGGUGGGCAGGUAAGUCAGUGGUGAAAUCUCCGGGCUUAACCCGGAAACUGCCAUUGAUACUAUCUGUCUUGAAUAUCGUGGAGGUGAGCGGAAUAUGUCAUGUAGCGGUGAAAUGCUUAGAUAUGACAUAGAACACCAAUUGCGAAGGCAGCUCACUACGCGAAUAUUGACACUGAGGCACGAAAGCGUGGGGAUCAAACAGGAUUAGAUACCCUGGUAGUCCACGCCCUAAACGAUGGAUACUCGACAUACGCGAUACACAGUGUGUGUCUGAGCGAAAGCAUUAAGUAUCCCACCUGGGAAGUACGACCGCAAGGUUG